rnacentral:rRNA from 1 species
UACAGAGGUCUCAAGCGUUGUUCGGAUUCAUUGGGCGUAAAGGGUGCGUAGGUGGCGCCAUAAGUCAGGUGUGAAAUUUCGGGGCUUAACUCCGAAACUGCAUUUGAUACUGUGGUGCUUGAGGACUGGAGAGGAGACUGGAAUUUACGGUGUAGCAGUGAAAUGCGUAGAGAUCGUAAGGAAGACCAGUGGCGAAGGCGGCUCACUGGCCCGGAACUGACGCUGAGGUGCGAAAGCGUGGGGAGCAAACAGG